rnacentral:rRNA from 1 species
GACGAACGCUGGCGGCGUGCUUAACACAUGCAAGUCGAACGGAAAGGCCCUUCGGGGUACUCGAGUGGCGAACGGGUGAGUAACACGUGGGUGAUCUGCCCUGCACUUUGGGUUAAGCCUGGGAAACUGGGUCUAAUACCGAAUAGGACCACGCUCUUCCUUGUGUGUGGUGGAAAGCUUUUGCGGUGUGGGAUGGGCCUGCGGCCUAUCAGCUUGUUGGUGGGGUAAUGGCCUACCAAGGCGACGACGGGUAUCCGGCCUGAGAGGGUGACCUGCCACACGGGGACUGAGAUACGGACCAGACUGCUACGGGAGGCAGCAGUGGGGAAUAUUGCACAAUGGGCGCAAGCCUGAUGCAGCGACGCCGCGUGAGGGAUGACGGCCUUCGGGUUGUAAACCUCUUUCAAUAGGGACGAAGCGAAAGUGACGGUACCUAUAGAAGAAGCACCGGCCAACUACGUG